rnacentral:rRNA from 1 species
UAGCUAAAUGCGGAAGAGAUAAGUGCUGAAAGCAUCUAAGCACGAAACUUGCCCCGAGAUGAGUUCUCCCUGAGACUAUAAGUCUCCUGAAGGAACGUUAAAGACGACGACGUUGAUAGGCCGGGUGUGUAAGCGCAGCGAUGCGUUGAGCUAACCGGUACUAAUGAACCGUGAGGCUUAACCUU